CGUGAGAUGGCCGAGUACUAGGCGGUGAGCUGUAAACUCAUAAACAAGGUGUGGACCUUUCUUACGA
rnacentral:tRNA from 1 species